rnacentral:rRNA from 1 species
UACCAGCACCCCGAGUGGUCGGGACGUUUUAUUGGGCCUAAAGCAUCCGUAGCCGGUUCUACAAGUCUUCCGUUAAAUCCACCUGCUUAACAGAUGGGCUGCGGAAGAUACUAUAGAGCUAGGAGGCGGGAGAGGCAAGCGGUACUCGAUGGGUAGGGGUAAAAUCCGUUGAUCCAUUGAAGACCACCAGUGGCGAAGGCGGCUUGCCAGAACGCGCUCGACGGUGAGGG